rnacentral:rRNA from 1 species
CAUGAGUAAAGUGGCGUACGGGUGAGUAACACGUGGGUAAUCUACCUCUUGGUGGGGAAUAACUCUGGGAAACCGGAGCUAAUACCGCGUAAGCUUGAGAGAGGAAAGGCGAAAGUCGCCGAGAGAGGAGCCCGCGGCCGAUUAGCUAGUUGGUAGGGUAAAGGCCUACCAAGGCGAAGAUCGGUAGCCGGCCUGAGAGGGCACACGGCCACACUGGCACUGAAACACGGGCCAGACUCCUACGGGAGGCAGCAGUGGGGAAUCUUGCACAAUGGGGGAAACCCUGAUGCAGCGACGCCGCGUGAGUGAUGACGCCCUUCGGGGUGUAAAGCUCUUUCGGCAGGGACGAUAAUGACGGUACCUGAAGAAGAAGCUGCGGCUAACUACGUGCCAGCAGCCGCGGUAAUACGUAGGCAGCGAGCGUUGUUCGGAGUUACUGGGCGUAAAGCGUGCGUAGGCUGUGGUCCAAGUCUGGUGUGAAAUCUCCCGGCUCAACUGGGAGGGUGCGCUAGAAACUGGGCUGCUGGAGUGUGGGAGAGGUAAGCGGAAUUCCUGGUGUAGCGGUGAAAUGCGUAGAUAUCAGGAGGAACACCUGCGGUGUAGACGGCUUACUGGACCAUGACUGACGCUGAGGCACGAAAGCGUGGGGAGCAAACAGGAUUAGAUACCCUGGUAGUCCACGCCCUAAACGAUGCAUACUUGGUGUGGGCAGUUCAGUCUGUCCGUGCCGGAGCUAACGCGUUAAGUAUGC